rnacentral:rRNA from 1 species
GGGUGGUAAUGCCGGAUGCUCCAGUUGGAUGCAUGUCCUUCUGGGAAAGAUUCAUCGGUAUGGGAUGGGGUCGCGUCCUAUCAGCUUGAUGGCGGGGUAACGGCCCACCAUGGCUUCGACGGGUAGCCGGCCUGAGAGGGCGACCGGCCACAUUGGGACUGAGAUACGGCCCAGACUCCUACGGGAGGCAGCAGUGGGGAAUAUUGCACAAUGGGCGCAAGCCUGAUGCAGCGACGCCGCGUGCGGGAUGACGGCCUUCGGGUUGUAAACCGCUUUUGACUGGGAGCAAGCCCUUCGGGGUGAGUGUACCUUUCGAAUAAGCACCGGCUAACUACGUGCCAGCAGCCGCGGUAAUACGUAGGGUGCAAGCGUUAUCCGGAAUUAUUGGGCGUAAAGGGCUCGUAGGCGGUUCGUCGCGUCCGGUGUGAAAGUCCAUCGCUUAACGGUGGAUCCGCGCCGGGUACGGGCGGGCUUGAGUGCGGUAGGGGAGACUGGAAUUCCCGGUGUAACGGUGGAAUGUGUAGAUAUCGGAAA